UACGAAGGGGGCUAGCGUUGCUCGGAAUUACUGGGCGUAAAGCGUGCGCAGGCGGUUUUGUAAGACAGAUGUGAAAUCCCCGGGCUCAACCUGGGAACUGCGUUUGUGACUGCAAGACUCGAGUGCGGCAGAGGGGGGGUGGAAUUCCACGUGUAGCAGUGAAAUGCGUAGAGAUGUGGAGGAACACCGAUGGCGAAGGCAGCCCCCUGGGUCGACACUGACGCCUCAUGCACGAAAGCGUGGGGAGCAAACAGG
rnacentral:rRNA from 1 species